GUGUGGAAUGGAACCCGGCACGGAGGGGAGGGAAAGAGAGCAGCUGGCACGGCGGUGCCCGCCAGGCAAACGGAGGCAGAGAAGGCCAGGGCAAGAGAUUGGCAUCCGAGCGGAGGCUGGCAGGGUCUUUCGGGACAUUUGGGGAGCCUUGGCACCGUGCCCCCCCUUCUCCGGCCUCUACAAAGAGACUUAGGUACCAGGCGGCAGCUGGCGAGAAGCGGGCAGGGUGGGGAAGAGGGCGUCCAUGCAACGGUGGAGAGCUCAAAGCGCCGACGGGCAUCGGAGGAGGCGCCCCGGCAGUAGCGCAGGGACUCAGAUUGAGGGAUGGCACAAGGCAGGGAAGGAAACGAGACGCAGGCGUAGAUCGCACUGGGAAAGCAACCCCGGGCACAGGCACACAAGGUGGGCAUCGCCGGAGCUGUGGUUUGGCGAAAGCUGCUUGGCUGUGCCCCCGAGAAUUGGGCCUUGGCAUCCCUAAUCUAUUCUGCCUGCACCGUCUCCCCUUCCCCCACGGUCCUUCUCCUUGGCACCCCUGUGCCCGCCUGAACUUGGCACCGAGUCAAAGCUGGUGGGGGCUGGCAUCGCCCCGGCUGGCACGUGAGUAGAAUCCCUGAGGUUAGCACUCUGCAAAGAAGAGGACGGAAGCGAGGCAUUGUUGCCAACGCCGCUGGCCGGCCACCACCUUGGCAUCCCUAUGGGCACGGGAAAAGAAAUUGCUUGGCGUCGUUCCUUCCUUCCUUUCCUUCCUUCCUUCCUUCCUUCCUAUUAUCAGCCCUCCCUUUUCCUUCCUUCCUCACUAUCAUCCCUCCAUUUUUCUUCCUUCUCUGCCUUUUUCAUUCACAUUCUUCUUUCCUUCCUUCCUCACUCAUUCUUCUUUCUUUCCUUCCUUCCUUCCGUCCAUCUUUUCCUUCCUUCCUAAGCCUCCUUUCAUUUUUCCUCCCUAUCUUUUUCCUCCCUCCUUCCUUCCUUCCUUCCCUCCCUCAUUCAUUCAUUCAUUCAUUCAUUCAUUCCCUCCAUCUUUUCCUUCCUUCCUAGCCUCCUCCUUUCAUUUUUCCUCCCUAUCUUUUCCCUUCCUCCCUCCCUCCCUCCCCUUCUCCAGACGUUAUCCCUCUUUUCCCUUUUCCCCGCCUGGGACUACCGAUACCUACGGAAUCCGGUCAAGGAGCUCAAAGCAUCUGCCAGCUUCUUCUUCGCGGAUCAUGGAGGUGUUAAAGUAUCCGGAAGAGGUUCCUUCCCUAGAAAUGGCGAGAACAAGACGGGAAGAAAGAAUAAAUUGAAAAAAAGGAGGAGUCCUCGCUUUGCAACAGUUCAUUUAGAGACCCUUCGAACUUACGAAGGGACUUGUGACCAAUUUUCACACCUACGACCGUUGCAGCGUCCCCAAGUUUCACGUGAUUGACAUUCGGAUGCUUGACAAGUGACUCCCAUUUCUGACGGUCCCCUUUUUGCGACCUUCCGAUGAGCAAAGUCAAGAUGGGGGGGGGGGGAGAAGCCGGAUUCACUUAACAACCGGGCGACUAACAACCACCACAACGAUUCGCUUAACAACCGGGUUCCUCAGGUAACGAAUACAGGAAUUCCCUGAACAACCGGAUUGCUAAUUUAACAACGGCUGGGAUCCACUUGACAAAUUGGCAAGGAAAACCGUACAACGGGGCAUACCGAUGUCUCGCUUAGCGACAUAAAUGCUGGGCUCCGUUGCGGUCGUACAUUGAGGACCGCCUGCGGCAGGCGGUUUUCCAGUGUUCUGAAAGUACCGUUCCCCCUCAUCUAAGACCGGACAUUCAAAAGGAUGCCAAAAAAGAGGAGGAAGAAGAAAAAAGGAAAAGAGAGAGAGAGAGAGAGAAAAUGGGAAUUCCACCCUACAGGCUGUGAAAAACCUGAAUGACGCACGAUCCAGGCCUUUAUCCUCGUCAGCGACUAAUUAAACUCUCAACCCGA